AGACGAACUGAAGCAGCAGAUUCCAGCUGAAGAUCCACAUGGACGGAAUCCAGCAGUGAUGAAGAUGAAGACGAUCAUGACAGCAGUGAAGAGUUCACGGACAGCAUAGAGGACAACGACCUCAAACUGACAGCUCAGAGUUUGACCAGCGCACAGAGAGCCGAGGAGUUCAGUAGACCGGGGAACGGGGUGCUGAUGUCCCAGCAUGCAUCAGAGCAGAGAAACGAAGGCGAGACGGGCCGCUCCUCACUCUCUCGCAGCAGGUACCAACAGCGGUGCAGAUCACUUCUGUUUGAUGGCUUCUUCCUGCUCUGCUGUGAUUGUGUCGUUGCUUUCGUAGGAA
rnacentral:lncRNA from 1 species